AACGACAACUUGUGUUUAAAACAUGAAAUUAUUAAAAAUUUCUCAAGUUGUAUUAAUUUUUGCCAUUGUUUUGGGUUUAUUAAGUGAUGUCAGUAUGGCGGCUCCCAAGAGAAAAACCAAAAAGAGAACACUGCCCAAGAUUGAAAUAAAUGCAAAUUUGAAAGUAAAAAUCGGUGGAUAACUGCUGUAACAAAUGAGGAAUUACAAUACAUAUGUGUAACAUUUUUGUGUUUUUUAUUUAAUUGUAAUAAUUAAAUUCUUUAUUAUUUUUAAACUUCAGUACUUCAAUAAAUAAUUGCUCUUAAACAA